UUGUGCGUGCGAAGACUUGAUUUUCAUUCAUUCAGAGACAAACGAAAAACAUAGUACAAAGGUGAGAUUCAAAGAUCUAAAGUUUUGUAAAUGAAAAGGAAAGACACUCACAAAUGAACAUAAAGAUUGUAAAGAUAAUUCGACUUUUUCUCUACAAACACUUGAAGGCAAUAGCUAGAUAGCUUCUUGGCACAAGCAAAUUCAUGGUUAGGCGUGGGCACUUCCACGAGUACUUCGGGAAGUGAAAGAUUAGUCACGGUUGUGUGACAAAGUGACGUUGAGGACGGUUCCAAAACCUGAUUACGCUCUUUUUGGGCAAUAAUCCUUUGGUCUUUGGAUUCUUCCACAUUAAUGGGGUCAAUGAGGGAGUCUUAUACCAGAUAUUCAACAAGUUACUCGUACUCUUCAUUCAAAUUGAUAAUAUUUGUGGUGGAUUGAUAAAUGUUGCACCU